GAGGAGCGCAAGCCUCCUAGCUCCUUGUUCCCGCCACUCCGCACGCGGAGCGGUCUCGCGAUCGGAACUACAUUUCCCAGUAGCCUUUGCGGCGAGGCUGGCCGAGCGGACUACAGUUCCCAGAGGCCCUGAAGGCGGGAGAGGAGGCGGGCGCUGUGUAAGGGAGGCUGGGCGCCGCUACCCUAGCGGGCGGCCUCUGCCAGGCGCGGCUAGCGGUCUUUUCUGCUGUGGUGGCAGUGACGAUUCGGGAGACGGGAGACGCAGGGUCGGAAAUGCGUGGUGGGCUGGGCCCGGCCUUGUGCAGAGUCCGGCAGAUAAUAGAAUGUGUCCCUUCCAGCUGGGCCUGAGGCGUCCGAAUCAACCGUGGAGGAAAACGAAGAUGACAUCCAGUUUGUGAGUGAGAGACCAUCAAUACCUGUUCUUGAAUACAUUGAGCUGAUCUGUGGUGAUGAUAAAGAGCCUAGAACCUAUGGUAGUGAUAGGCAGUAGAAUUACAAGAAGAAAUGGGGUGAGAAUAGCAGAGCGUGUCGCAAAAGAAAUGAAGAUGACAAUAUUUAAGGAUAUUAUAGAAGAGAAGGCCAAAAUCUGUGUUACAGUUGAUGAGGCAUCCGCGGUUUCAAAGAAGAGGAUCCUCGUGAUUUAUGUCCAGUACACAGUAGAGUCAGCUCCUGCACCGGUUAUGUUGUUUGUUACUUUACAGGAACUGGUGUCAGCCACAGCAGAAUGUGUCUUCAAUACGUUAUUGAGCACUUCAAAUGAUUGUGGCUUCGCUAAUGAAUAUUUGAAAGCAAAUUUAAUUGCAUUUUGUCCUGAUGGUGCUAAUAUAAUGCUGGGUAGAAAGUCUGGAGUAGCCACAAAGUUGUGAGAAAAUUUUCCUGAAAUAAUUAUUUGGAACUGUUUAAACCAUCAGUUGCAUUUGUCACUUGAUGAUUCAAUAUCUGAAAUAAAACAAGUGAAUCAUUUAAAAAUACUUCUUGAUAAAAGUUGUUCCAAGUAUCAUCCGCCUAAUAAAAAUCAACACAAGCUUUUAGGGAAUGUACCUAAAGAUCUUGAAGUUGAAAUUCUUAAAAUUGGCCAGGUAAAGGGACCCAAGUAGGCAGCUUGUAGUCUACAACCAGCUACUGCUGUGUGGCAUGCAUAUCCUGUAUAUAUUUGCAUUUCUCUCAUUUGCAUUCUGGUUUGGCCAAGAGGUUAGCUAACGUUCCAAUUUCUUGUAAAACCUUGCUUUAAUGAUUGACAUUCUUGAAUAAUUUUGACUACUUUUAACUGCACUACAGUCAAGCUCAACUAACAUUCAGAAAGCACAAAAAUUGAUCAAAUGCACAAUAAAAACCUUGGAAAAUUUAAAAAUUGGUACUGGAAAGCAUGAAUCUCAAAUCGAAAGUUUGAUUAAAUCAGGUAAAUUUAAAGAUACUCCAUUUUGUAGAAAUAAUAAAUUUAAUGCCCUUCCUAGGAACAUGUUACUAGAAAAUGUAAUUCAACACAUGAACUUAUGUCUUUUAUCGAACAGGAAGCAUGAUGAAAGUAUUUUGAAUUAUUUUAAUUUGCUAGAACUUUCUACAUGGCCUUAUGAAGAAAUAACUUCACCAUGGAUAACUGGUGAAAAAAAAUUAUUUGUGUGAAAUUUUAAAAUUUGAAAUUGAUUUGAAUGAUUUUAGGGAAUUUGUAAAUAAUAAUAUAAAGUCAAACAAUAUUUCAGUUCCUAAAGCUAAUAGCACCAUUGUAGUCAGUACUGCUGAAGUAGUGCUGAAGCUGAAAGAGGUUUCCAUUUAAUGAACAUAAUUUGUACAAGGGUGAGAAACAGUUUAACUAUAGGUCAUAUAUCCGAUUUAAUGACAAUGAAUCUGUUGGAAAAAGAAUUAGCUGGUUGGGAUGCAACUGCCUUUGUAAAAUCCUGGUCAAACUGCAACCACAGGUUAGCUAUAGAUACGAGAGUUCAGCAAAAGUCAACAAGAGCCUAUGAGAAUCAGCUGGCUCUCUGGAACUUACAAUAAAGGGUAUUGUGUUGGAAUUCCCUUGUGGUCCAGUGGUUAGGACUCGGUGCUUUCACUGCUGUGGCCUUGGUUCAGUCCCUGGUAGGGAAACAAAGAUCCUGCAAGCUCGCCAGAAAUAGGAUUGUGUAUGAUUUGUUAUUUGUAAGUUAUGUGUUCUGCACACUAUAUAUACAUAAAUUUUUAUUUUGAAAGUCAGUUGUUAAACUUUUAUCCAUAUAUUGCUGUUUAAAGGCAUUCUCCAAAGGGAUUGUUUUUAGGAGCAGUGAUUGUUUUUAGGAGCAGUGGGUUUUUAGAGGUUGGCCCAUGUCUGCUAGAGUAGGCUGAAUAUGUAUUUCAUGGACUCUAUAAGAACAUCCAAUGAUUCCACUUUUGCUUUGUUUUACAUUUAGUAAGGAUAUAAUAGAGUAAUAUAACCCAGAUUACUUCUAAACCCUGAAAGUUAUAGCAAAUAAAAGAAAAAUAGAAUAAAAACUACAAUCCUUGUGGCUUUUGUCUUUCUUAUUUCCCUAUCUAUGUUAUCAAAUAUGGUAACCACUAGCAACAUAUGCCUAUUAACAUUCGAAAUGAGUAGGACUAAGGAAGCAAAUAUUUAAUUUUAAUUAAAUAUAAAAAGGAAAAUAGUGUAAAAUAUUUUAUUGAACUCACUUGUUUUUUAAAAAAUACAUUUUAAGUUUGUUAUCUUGCUUAAAAGGUGAUUGUUAGAGUGUGCUAAGUCUGGUAUUACAUAUAAACAUUACUGAGUUAGUGUCAGUGUAUGUAUUCAGUGUAUUUUUUCCUUUGAAUCAAUGUAACAUAGUGUGUUUAUCUGAAUAUUUUAGGUUGACAAAAGGAAUUAUAGUGAUUACUUUUGCAAAUCAGAGUUGGUGAUUAAAAUAAGGUGCUUGAUUAUUUUUCUAUUUUAGACAUGAAUACGAACAAUUUUUAGUUUAAAAUGAAGGCAUACUGAAAAGAACAAGCAGAGCUGCAGAAGCUAGUACUGCACCUAGGACAGCAAACAGAAAGGCUGGAGGAAGGUAUAUGGCGUUCUCACAGUGAAUGACGGCUGCAGUUUGUUACGGCAGAGAGAAACAAGCUAUAAUUUUACAAAAAAUAAGACAGUAAAGUCGACAAUAUUGAGACAGUUCCAGAAAAUGCAUAAUGAAUGAAUGAAUGAAGUUACCUUUCAAAGGUCAAAAAAGAAUUGAAAUUAAGGCACCUGAAAUCUCAGUGGAAUUUCUAACAAAAAUUUUUUAAAGGAUUGAGUAUGUUAAAUUUGGCCAGAUAUGAAACACCUUGAAUUCUUGCAUGAAAAAGAACUAGCUUUACGUAGAUAGGUAGUUAUAUUAAUUAUUUCAGUUAUAGAAAUUGUUAGAAAUUUAUGAGUUAAAGCCUGAAAAUAUCUUUUGAAAAAAAGUACAGUCUUUAGUUGUCACCAGACGUUGCUUGUGGAACACAGAAAUUUAUAACAGUAUUAAAGAUUAAUUGAUUCAAAAGCUGAAAAAUUACAAGUACAUUUCUUUAGCUUUAGAUGAGUUAUGUAACAGAAGAGUUGCUGUCCAACGAACACUUGGAGUACCUUUUGUCUCAUCAGGCUUAAAAGCUUAUGAAAUAACUUUCAGUUCAUGGCCUGAGAAGUCAAAUGUGUAUAGCUAUAUUUUAAUUAAUUAUCAAAAGAAUUUCAGCUAGAUGAGGAAAAAAACCCAACUUUUUGUCACAAUAACUGGUGUUCCAGCUAGGUUAGGUCAAUGUCAGAUUUCACUGGGAUUUUUAAAUGAGUCGUGUUUCCCUUAUUUCUUUGUUCCAUUGUUUGAUACAGUUUGAAAGUAUCUGGGCUCAGUUUUCUGAAAUGGUUUCUCUGAGAGAUGUCAUGAGUACAGUCGUUAGGUGUUAAGUGCUAUGAAUCAAUGUCAGCUUAUAGGAGGAUUGCUGAACAAAUUAAAAGACAGUAAAUUUAGUGAUCUCUGCCAGUUGGUUGUAUUGUGAAAGAAACUUACUAUACCAUAAACAUCAGUUCAAGAUUUUCCUGCAACAACAGAAAUGCUAGCCAAAUACUUAAUUAGUAAUUAGAGAAAAUGGCAGUUUUGUGCCCAGUAUUACAUAGCAUAUGAAUGAUCUAAAUUUGAAACUCCAAAUAUGGGGAAAAGCCCAUUUCUGCUACCUAGACAAGUACUAGAAUUUAUUUUGAAAUUGAAACUUUAAAAAUCAGGUAACUUCACACAUAUUUCUAAUAUGAAUUAGUAUGGGUCAGAUUUUAACUUUGACAGGUAUAUAAAUUUACUAUAAAAACUACAAGAAAAAAAAUUUUAAUGUUAUUUUUGAUCAGUUUAGAGUUGCUUUUCAAUUUAUCCCCUAACACUGAAUUCAGUAUUAAUGAUACUGAAUUGACAUAAGAUUUAUUGAAUUUACUUAAUUUGGACAAAUGUAGUUUGUAAACUGAUGUGCUUUUGCUCUGAAGGCAAAUCAAUUCUUUUAAAAAAGGUGAACAGGAAUUUUUCUGUGUGGAUUUAAAAAUAAAAAUAUUUUCUUUAAGUCUCCUUGUGUCAUUCUUGCUCCUUCCAAUCCAUCCUCCAUAAUAACUCAGGAAUGGCCAUUCUGAAAUAUACAUUUAUUCUUAAAACUUUUAUUGGUCAACAAGAUAUUCAGAUAACAGAAAACCUAACUUAAAUCACUUGAAUGGACUUAUUUUGAAUAACAAAUCUGGAGAGGGCUGCAGGCUUUGCUUGAGUAGCUUAAUAGUGUCAUUACUGUGUUAUCUGGGAUGCUUUUGGCCUUUUAGGGUUAUAGGAUGGCUGGCACAAUUUUGUACAUGCUGGAUUGAAGGCAAGAAGGCCAGGCUGGAACAAACCCUGGAUAUCAAAAAAUUAAGAGCUUUGCCAGAAGCCUUUUCAAGUGGGUUUGCAUUUCACUGGCCAGAAGUGUAUGAAUGUGGCCAUCCUUCAUUGCAGUUGAGGCUUAGAAUGUGAGCUUUUACAUUUCCUGCUUCAGUAAUAAAGGUAGGCAAGCGGGGGAGGAAUGUGGUUUACCAUUUUUCUCCCCUGCUGAAAAUUCUUUGCUAGUUUCCUAUUGUCUUCAAUCUUUCUGCUUCCCUUAUAAGAGUUCAAUUUUUUGUCUCCGCACUACCUCCUCUAACUAGGUAGUGAGUUUCUGGGAAAGAGUUGGGCAUUGGUGAUUAGUAAUGUCUAUCACAUAAUAAUAGAAUCUCAGUAAAUGUUUGCUUAGUUUUGGGUGUUUCCUAUAUGUCAGUUCAUUUUUUUGAGUUGUUUACAUCUCUAAAUAUUCCUAUUUCCCAGUGAACUUUUAAGGGAGA
ensembl:lincRNA